GCCUACGGCCAUACCACCCUGAAAGCGCCCGAUCUCGUCUGAUCUCGGAAGCUAAGCAGGGACGUGCCUGGUUAGUACCUGGAUGGGAGACCGCCUCGGAAUACCAGGUGUUGUAGGCU
rnacentral:rRNA from 1 species